GGACAGUCCCGGGAAACUGGGGCUAAUCCCCGAUAGGUGGGGACUCCUGGAAGGGGCCCCACCUAAAGGGUUCUGCGGGGAUGUCCGCAGAACCGCCCGAGGAUGGGGCCACGGCCCAUCAGGUGGUUGGCGGGGUAACGGCCCGCCAAGCCUAUAACGGGUAGGGGCCGUGAGAGCGGGAGCCCCCAGAUGGGCCCUGAGACAAGGGCCCAGGCCCUACGGGGCGCACCAGGCGCGAAAACUCCGCAAAUAGGGGGUUCCAGCGAAGUAAACUCAUGGUGGACCCUCACGUUGUUUGACUCACCCAGCGUCAGUUCCCUAAAUUCUCAUCUUCCUCGCCGGACCCCCUAGCGGAAUGCGGGAAACCGUGACGGGGUCACCCCGAGUGCCCCGAAGAGGGGCUUUUCCCCGCUGUAAAAAGGCGGGGGAAUAAGCGGGGGGCAAGUCUGGUGUCAGCCGCCGCGGUAAUACCAGCUCCGCGAGUAGUCGGGACGGUUAUUGGGCCUAAAGCGCCCGUAGCCGGCCCGGCAAGUCCCUCCUUAAAGCCUCGGGCCCAACCCGAGGACGGGGGGGAUACUGCCGGGCUAGGGGGCGGGAGAGGCCGGCGGUACUCCCGGGGUAGGGGCGAAAUCCGUUAAUCCCGGGAGGACCACCAGUGGCGAAGGCGGCCGGCUGGAACGCGCCCGACGGUGAGGGGCGAAAGCCGGGGGAGCGAACCGGAUUAGAUACCCGGGUAGGUACGUGCCGCGGACUACCUCCGGAAAUUCCCGUAUCUUCAAGCUCACCAGUACGCUCCUACCGCGGCAGUACCCCGGAGAGUCCCGGCUGUAAACGAUGCGGGCUAGCUGUUGGGCGGGCUUAGAGCCCGCCCAGUGGCGCAGGGAAGCCGUU
rnacentral:rRNA from 1 species